rnacentral:rRNA from 1 species
CCUACGGGGGGCAGCAGUAGGGAAUAUUGCUCAAUGGGCGCAACUCUGAAGCAGCAACGCCGCGUGGAGGAUGAAGGUUUUCGGAUUGUAAACUUCUUUUGUUAGAGAAGAUAAUGACGGUAUCUCACUAUUAAGCACCGGCUAACUCCGUGCCAGCAGCCGCGGUAAUACGGAGGGUGCAAGCGUUACUCGGAAUCACUGGGCGUAAAGAGCGCGUAGGCGGGAUAGCAAGUCAGAUGUGAAAUCCUAGGGCUUAACCAUAGAACUGCAUUUGAAACUGUUAGUCUAGAGUAUGGGAGAGGUAGGUGGAAUUCUUGGUGUAGGGGUAAAAUGCGUAGAGAUAAAGAAGAAUACUCAUGGCGAAGGCGACCUGCUAGAACAUAACUGACGGUGAUGCGCGAAAGCGUGGGGAGCAAACAGGAUUAGAUACCCGUGUAGUC